rnacentral:rRNA from 1 species
UACGAAGGGGGCUAGCGUUGUUCGGAUUUACUGGGCGUAAAGCGCACGUAGGCGGCUCGUUAAGUCAGAGGUGAAAGCCUGGAGCUCAACUCCAGAACUGCCUUUGAUACUGGCGAGCUCGAGUAUAGGAGAGGUUGGUGGAACUGCGAGUGUAGAGGUGAAAUUCGUAGAUAUUCGCAAGAACACCAGUGGCGAAGGCGGCCAACUGGCCUAUAACUGACGCUGAGGUGCGAAAGCGUGGGGAGCAAACAGG